ACAGCUGACAAACGAGGGUUAUAAAAUCAGCAAAAACAUCGCUGACACGGGUUUCCCCUCAGGGCGUGAUGUUUCGCCGUAGUAACUCCUCCGUCGACUCGGAGUUCGAACCAAGCUGAAACAUGCUGCGCAAACACAACGGGGGGGGGGACGAUUACACCAUGACAACGUGCCCAGAUGCCCGCAGGCCACACAGGAGGAGGGGGCGGGUCGCUAUCCGACACCACGGCCUCGCUUGUGUCUGACUCUUGUGCCACAGACACACUUUCGCUGCACAAAGACUCCGUCACAGGACCGUCGGCAGCUGCAAACAGAUGGUGGAGCCAGGAGGCCAGACGGCGUGCCGCUAACAGGCGCAUCUGCUGCAGACGCACACUUUCACACGCCACACGUGCACCCCCUGCUUUACAGUACGACAACACAGCGUGGAGGCCAACGCUGAAGGCCUGGUCCAUUGAACGCACCUCUGCACAAAUCCGUGGACUGAACUGUGCACAUGGUGCAGUGAUGUCAGAGGCCCAGAGAAGGCCCUUAUCGUGUUGGUGCAGUUGGAGGAUGAAAGGAAGGAGUGAGCAAACAAUGGACGGAGCGGCCGAUAGCGGCGUCUCUACCUCCACAGCAGAGAUGAGCCGCGGCGUCCGCUGCUGCCAAACCACGGUGCUGUUCACAUUUUCCGUGCCCCCUCCCCACUUUUCGUCCUGGGAACCGCGCUCACACAAGCGUCCGCAUAAAUACGAGUGAGAGUCAGUCGCUGAGAAGCCGCAGAGCCUUUUUCUCAGGCUUUAACACUAACAAGGGCUUCAAUGGCUGGGUUUACAGGGCAAUGAAAGCAGCAGCGCUGUGGGUUUGCUACUGUUUACACACACACACUAAUCACAGUAUCUCUGCUUGAUCACGUCCCACGCGCGGACGCCGUCCGGAGGCGGCGUGACCCGUGGGGAGUGGGCGUGUCCUCACCUGCAGCGCCCAGGUGCCCCGCGGCAGGUCGCGGCACGCUCGCCCCGUGUUGUUGUCUGCGGCUGCCAGCGAGCGCAGCCCUUACACAACCCCGAGGGCCACUGACGCGACGCAGCCGUGCACCUUCCAGCACGUCGGAGCAACUGCCGCCUGCCUGGAACCACGAUUUAUACGCGAUUGGGUCAGUAAUAAACGUAUGGAGCAUUUAUGGCCUCUGUGACAGCGAUGGGUUAAAACCUGAUUAAUGAUAACUUGUGAAGGGACAAUUAAUGACAGCGCUGCUUGGAGUGUACAGGUGUACCUAAUAAAGAGGCCACAGCUCUCUCUCCUCCUCUCUUUGUGCUUUACCAUGAACUCCUGACCAAAUUACAGGUAUGUCCAAACCCUCCUAGUGAUUACUCCAGUGACCACUGCCUGCACAAACAAUAGCCACGUUCCUCUAGCAGUAAACACCCAUUAUAACCGUAGACAAAGCACAUACGGAGGAAACGGGACAGAAACGGCACCGGACACAGAUAUUAGACUCUAUAUUAGUUUUGGCGUCUCUAAAAGCGGCCCUUAAACGUCGCGCGCCGCCGAGCACUUGCUGUGGCACCGUGUAAUUUCUACCGCGUGCCCGUUGCGCGUAAGGACAGCCAGAUGUGCGCGCGUGCGGCCUCCGGCUCCCGCAGCUGCGCCAUGUUCGUCUGCGCGCGCGUGCCUCGCCGUCCUGCAGCCGCGAGUGCUGCAACGUGCGUGUCCAAACACGUCAUCUUACAGUGCGCACACCGCGGGAGAGGGGAGGGGGGGUGAGCAGGUAGAGCUGCUCCACAACAAAGUCAUCAGGUGGGCAGACACACGAACGCACCACGGGGCCCGUGUGGAGGGACGCGAACUCACGCACGUGGAUCUGUGCAGGUUACACGGUAAUAACCAGUGUAUUACACUUUACACUACGUUCCCCACCCCCACCCCGCAUGUGACGUUAAGGACCCUGUCUGAGUUAUGAUGUAUGUUUAUCUGCUGGUGGAGGGGGGGGUGAGGGGUGAGGGAGGGAGGCGGGGGCUUGGCAUUAAAAUAUUUGGGAUCCUCUGUCUGCCCUACGUGGCCAAAACCACCCGGCCUAGAUUUUAGCUGCAGCUCAUUGAAACUUUUCAAAAGGAGCUUUCCUCCCAUUUAAGUCGCAGGAACUCGCUCGGCUCCGGUUUCUCUCUUUUUCCGAGACAACUCACCCUCGGU